rnacentral:snoRNA from 1 species
UCCCGAUGAGGAAGCAUGCCCUUGAUAGGAAGUGCCGUAUGACACUCCAAACAGCAGCGGUGCA